AGCCUGCCGCGUGUAUGAAGAAGGCCUUCGGGUUGUAAAGUACUUUCAGCGGGGAGGAAGGCGAUGAGGUUAAUAACCUUGUCGAUUGACGUUACCCGCAGAAGAAGCACCGGCUAACUCCGUGCCAGCAGCCGCGGUAAUACGGAGGGUGCAAGCGUUAAUCGGAAUUACUGGGCGUAAAGCGCACGCAGGCGGUCUGUCAAGUCGGAUGUGAAAUCCCCGGGCUCAACCUGGGAACUGCAUUCGAAACUGGCAGGCUUGAGUCUUGUAGAGGGGGGUAGAAUUCCAGGUGUAGCGGUGAAAUGCGUAGAGAUCUGGAGGAA
rnacentral:rRNA from 1 species